AAUAGAUACCCGGGUAGUCCAUGCCGUAAACGUUGGGCACUAGGUGUGGGGCUCAUUCCACGAGUUCCGUGCCGCAGCUAACGCAUUAAGUGCCCCGCCUGGGGAGUACGGCCGCAAGGCUAAAACUCAAAGGAAUUGACGGGGGCCCGCACAAGCGGCGGAGCAUGCGGAUUAAUUCGAUGCAACGCGAAGAACCUUACCAAGGCUUGACAUAUACCGAAAACUCGUAGAGAUACGGGGUCCGCAAGGGCGGUAUACAGGUGGUGCAUGGUUGUCGUCAGCUCGUGUCGUGAGAUGUUGGGUUAAGUCCCGCAACGAGCGCAACCCUCGUCCUAUGUUGCCAGCGGGUAAUGCCGGGGACUCAUAGGAGACUGCCGGGGUCAACUCGGAGGAAGGUGGGGAUGAGGUCAAAGUCAUCAUGCCCCUUAUGUCUUGGGCUUCACGCAUGCUACAAUGGCCGGUACAAAGGGCUGCGAUACCGCAAGGUGGAGCGAAUCUCAAAAAGCCGGUCUCAGUUCGGAUUGGGGUCUGCAACUCGAACCCC
rnacentral:rRNA from 1 species